rnacentral:rRNA from 1 species
UGGGCAAUCUGCCCUUCACAUCGGAAUAACCAUUGGAAACGAUGGCUAAUACCGAAUAUGACUUCGGAUCGCAUGAUCUGAAGUGGAAAGCUCCGGCGGUGAAGGAUGAGCUCGCGGCCUAUCAGCUUGUUGGUGAGGUAAUAGCUCACCAAGGCGACGACGGGUAGCUGGUCCGAGAGGAUGACCAGCCACAUUGGGACUGAGACACGGCAGA